GACGAACGCUGGCGGCGUGCUUAACACAUGCAAGUCGAACGGAAAUGCCCUGCUUCUGUGGGGUGCUCGAGUGGCGUACGAGUGAGUAACACGUGAGUAACCUGCACUGGACUUUGGGAUAACUUAAGGAAACUGGGGCUAAUACCGGAUAGGAGCUCCUGCUGCAUGGUGUGGGUUGGAAAUUUUCGGCGGAUGGUGAUGGACUCGCGGCUUAUCAGCGUGUUGGUGGGGUAGUGGCUUACCAAGGCUUUGACGGGUAGCCGGCCUGAUAGGGUGACCGGCCAAAUUGGGAAUGAGGUACGGCCCAGAAUCCUACGGGAGGCAGGAGUGGGGAAUUUUGCACAAUGGGCGGAAGCCUGAUGCAGCAACGCCGGGUGCGGGGUAACGGCCUAAGGGCUGUAGUACGCUUUCGCCUGUGACGAAGCGUGAGUGACAGUAAUGGAUAAAGAAGCACCGGCUAACUACGUG
rnacentral:rRNA from 1 species